rnacentral:rRNA from 1 species
CCUACGGGAGGCAGCAGUAGGGAAUCUUCCACAAUGGGCGAAAGCCUGAUGGAGCAACGCCGCGUGGGUGAAGAAGGUCUUCGGAUCGUAAAACCCUGUUGUUAGAGAAGAAAGUGCGUGAGAGUAACUGUUCACGUUUCGACGGUAUCUAACCAGAAAGCCACGGCUAACUACGUGCCAGCAGCCGCGGUAAUACGUAGGUGGCAAGCGUUAUCCGGAUUUAUUGGGCGUAAAGGGAACGCAGGCGGUCUUUUAAGUCUGAUGGGAAAGCCUUGGGCUUAACCGGAGUAGUGCAUUGGAAACUGGGAGACUUGAGUUAAGAAGAGGAGAGUGGAAAUCCAUGUGUAGCGGUGAAAUGCGUAGAUAUAUGGAAGAACACCAGUGGCGAAAGCGGCUUUCUGGUUCUUAACUGACGCUGAGGUUCGAAAGCGUGGGUAGCAAACAGGAUUAGAUACCCUGGUAGUC